rnacentral:misc_RNA from 1 species
CCAGAUGCAUAUGUUGAUCAGAAACUGCAAGAAUUUUUGAGCUUAAAACAAGGAAAUCGAUCAGUGGCGGAGUAUGAGAGGGAGUUCUCCCGCCUGAGUCACUAUGCGGAGAGUCUCCUUACUACCAGUAAGGCAAGAUGCAAGAGAUUUGAGACGGGUUUGAAGCCCAGCAUAAGGAUGCAAGUUGUGGGAUUUCGACACAGCAACUUCUCAGAGCUUAUGUCUCAAGCACUUGAACUGGAGAGAAUUGAAUCAGAAGCAACCCCAGUGAAAGAAAAAUCAGAAAAAGCUGAGAAAUCAGAAAAAGAUAAGGGGGAAAAAUCAAUUGAACAGAGUUCUAGUGCUACCUCUGGAAAGAGAAAGAAGUUUAGUGGACCCAGCAGGGGUCGAGGUGGAAGAUUUGGUAGGGGCCGAUUCUCCGGACAAAGACCCCCUAGGUCUGGUCAGUAGUUGAGCAGGGGUUCACAUUCUGCCUGCCCCUGUGAGACUUGUGGUAAGAUUCAGGGGGGGAGUGCUACUGGGCCACUGGAGCCUGCUUUAACUGCGGAGGCAAGGGUCAUUUAGCAAGAGACUGCACUAGUGCUCCGUCUUCGAGAUAUGGUCCAGCUCCUACUACUGCCGAGGGAUCUAUUCAGAGUCCUGCUCCCAGAGGUUCACAGUCAGUUGGCAGAGGAAGAGGCAGAGGUAGAGGCACUGCUUCAGGCAGUCAGGGCACAGUUGGUCAGUCAGGACAAGGAAGUGCUUCAACCAGAAUCUACACAAUGAGACAGCAAGAAGAGACUGAGACUUCUGAUGUGGUAGCUGUUGAAAAGAAUAUCGGGAAGGA